GCUGGGUAAGAAUCUGGAUUGUUUAAGUGUCAAACAGUGACAACAUGUGUACAAUACAACACAGACAUCAAGGGAGAACCAGCUCAGCUAAUAUGUGGUAUUCAUAUGAGUCUUGAAGAACAAAGACCACCCAUAAAGCAAAACCAAAGCUGCCACAAGAAUAGGUGGUACUGCUUCCGUCAUUGCAUACUGUGUGCCACUCGGUUUCCUAAUUAGAUUUGCAAGCUAAUAAAAGGCAUAGAACACAAUAAAAGAACAAUAUGUUAUAACUUCUCCUAUGACAGACACCGCUGUAAAUUCAGUAGAUUUUUGAUUCUGGAUUGGAGAGUUUGACUAGAACAAAAACAUUGCUGGACAACUUUGGAAAUACUGAACAGAAAAGGAGUGAAAGGAAAGGGUGUCAAAAACUCAGAAGCAAAAUGGAUCGAAGAUCAAAUAAAGCAACAACAACAACAACAACAAAAGACAUGGGAAAAUUAGACUGAAAUCUAAAGCAUCUUUAUCAUGUGGAUAUCGGACAAACGCAGCCCUGCCACAGCUGCCCGCUCGCUGCUGGCACCAGCCCAGCCAUCCCUGUGCUGCCCUCUGCUCACCCUGCAUCCCUGCAGCUCCCGUAGCAGCGCUGGUAAGUGAACCUAAACGUCUGCCGUUGCUCCCCGUGGCCUCCCUCACUGCUGCGCUCUGGAUUUUCAAUUAAUUCCCAUUAAAACAGUCAGCUCCCUUUAGAAACCACUUUUGAUUCUGCGUAAGUUUGUUCUAAUUAGCACCGAAUAACAAAAGUCUAACAGUAGCACCUAUUCUCCCAACAUUUUUAACAAGCUGUCAGAGAAGGAACAGUGUGAAUAACAGCUGAGUUUAAUAUGUUACUUUGUCUCAUUUUUUCAUUAUUUGCAUCCAGUUGCUUUGAAUAUUUUUGGGUGACCAAAAAGACUGAAUUUGAGGUCAACCGAGCAGUUCUCACAGAUCUCUGACACAAAGAGUUUGGUCACAAUAAAAAAUAAGCCCA
rnacentral:lncRNA from 1 species